rnacentral:rRNA from 1 species
UACGGGGGGGGCAAGCGUUGUUCGGAAUUACUGGGCGUAAAGGGCUCGUAGGCGGCCAACUAAGUCAGACGUGAAAUCCCUCGGCUUAACCGGGGAACUGCGUCUGAUACUGGAUGGCUUGAGUUUGGGAGAGGGAUGCGGAAUUCCAGGUGUAGCGGUGAAAUGCGUAGAUAUCUGGAGGAACACCGGUGGCGAAGGCGGCAUCCUGGACCGGCAUUGACGCUGAGGCGCGAAAGCUAGGGGAGCAAACGGG